ACCUUUCAAAAAGUUUCCUGGAUUAUCACAUUCCAUUAGUAUGUGUUCUUCGGUUUCCAUGGUUUCACAGCCCCAUCUGCAUCCCCCGUCUUCUGCCAUGUUUCUUUUAUACAAGCUGUAUUGUAAAUUGUUCAUCCCGGUUCGCAAUCUGUGAAUUGUGCAUGAUGCUUCUCUGUUCUUGUGAAAGCGAUGGUAGUCUAUGUGCAAGGAUUCAAUGUUUGCUGCAAUGAAGGGUUUCAAUGCGCGGCAAGCUUUGGAUUCUUUCUACUCCUGGAUCCGUCAAAGCUUGUUUAGCUAGCUGGUCCACAAAUUCAUUUCCCUUGAUUCCACAGUGACUGGGAAUCCAUAUUAUCUUGGUUUUGCAGCCCGAGUUCUUCAGGCACUUUGUUAGAUUCCAGAUCUCUAGACUUGUUGAGUCCAUGUCCCUAUAAGGGAGAUUGCUUAGGUACUGGACACAUGAUUUCGAGUCAGUGCAUACCACUACCAUGCUUGGAUAAUCUUCUCUUUGGGAUGAAAACUGCACAUGUAUAGGUUUCGUCUUUGGCGGAUCCAUCUGUGUAGGCUAUCACUGUUUGUGGAGGAAGCGUAUUUAGCUCUUCCUGUAGCAGCAACCGUGCUUGCAACAAGUUCUCGGUUGCGCCCUUCUUUGUGAUGUCCAGUUCUGUGCAUUCAUAAACCCUUUCGUCCCACGCUUUUAUCACCGCUGGUGUUGAGUAAGACUUCCAAGUUGUCGGCGCCUGCACCUCCUUUAAUAGCAGAUCCCGUAAAGGAUGCUCUUGGUUGCUAAUUAUUUGGAGAGCAAUUCUUGUGGUCUGGUAGCGUCGUACUUUUUUGAGCGCCCAGGAUUUUCCUUAUGGCUUCAUGCAGUACCGUGUUAACUCGGGAUAGGUUGAUUUGGCCGCUCCCCCGUACACUGCCGCCCCAUAAUCCGCCACCGAUUGUAUGCAUGCUGUGUAGAGGUGUCUCAGCGUCCUCAGCUCCGGUGCCAUCCUCCGUGUUGCAAUUCCACUAAUAGCGGCUCCUGCUCUCCUGAUCCUUUGUUCUACCUUCGCGAUGUGUUUCCGCCAGGAAAAACAAGACCUCUGAAUUGUUUGCAUCCCUUUCAAAUUUCAUUCCUGCCGUCUUUUCCGCUGAUAGGUUCAUGCCUUGUUGGGUGCACCAUCUUGCUAUUUUAUCCAGAUCCGCCAUCAUCACGUUGAAGAGGAUGGGGCUCAACACUGAUCCUUGCGGGACUCCUCUUUUGGUCUGAGUGCACCCGUGGGUUCGAUUUUCCAUUUUUAGUUUGUAUGUCCUGUUUUUCAUGAAGUCACUUAUCAGCCUUAAUAUCGAUCCUUCUACUCCGCUUUCGGCUAAUUUCCAAGCGAUUGCCCUUGAGGAUACUGAGUCAAAGGCUUUGGCUAUGUCCAGGAAUAUGCCAUAUACUUUGUUGUUUUUCCUCCAUCCAUUUUUUACGAAGCAGUCUAAUCGAGUGAGAGCAUCUGUGGUGCCUCGUUUUUUUCUGAACCCGUCUUGCGCCUUUAGUAGCUUUUUGUGUUUUUCCAGGUAAUAGUUUAUUCGUUUUGCCAGUACCUUCUCCAAGAGUUUGCAGAGGGUUGCGGUCAGUGCGACUGGCCUAAAAGAUUGCGCUGAUUCUGCGCUUUUUCCUGCUUUUAGUAGGGGUACUACGUGAGCCUCUUUCCAGACCAGCGGUAGCCGUCCUGUCCUCAGUAUUAGGUUAUAAAAUGUUGUGAUUUGUUCUCUGUUUUCUUUCGAUAGCUGCUUGAUCAUUGUAUUUGGGAUGGUGUCUGGACCGGGUGCUGUAUGCGUCAGACUUCUCAUGGCCUCUUCUAUUUCUUGUGUUUUUAGUGGAGAGUUUAGUGCCACCCUUUCUUCUUUGCGUAAGGCCUCCUGUAGUGUUAAAGACUUGUUUCUGUUUAGUUCAGGAGGAGAUUUGCAUGCUGGCUCAAACAUCGAAUUCAGCAAAAUUUCCGAUAUAGCCUCUGGAUCGAAUGUCAGUUCAGACUGUGCAUUUUUAAUCGUUUUUGGAACCGUUUGGCCUUUCCUUGCUGUACCAAGCAUGGUUUUCAUUAACGACCACAUUUUCUGGGGGUCAUUUCUUGGUCCCAGUUCUUCGAGAAAUUUU